rnacentral:rRNA from 1 species
CCUACGGGGAGCAGCAGUAGGGAAUAUUGCUCAAUGGGGGAAACCCUGAAGCAGCAACGCCGCGUGGAGGAUGAAGGUUUUCGGAUUGUAAACUCCUUUUGUUAGAGAAGAUAAUGACGGUAUCUAACGAAUAAGCACCGGCUAACUCCGUGCCAGCAGCCGCGUUAAUACGGAGGGUGCAAGCGUUACUCGGAAUCACUGGGCGGAAAGAGCGCGUAGGCGGGAUAGCAAGUCAGAUGUGAAAUCCUAUGGCUUAACCAUAGAACUGCAUUUGAAAAUGGUAUUCUAGAGUAUGGUAGAGGUAGGUGGAAUUCUUGGGGUAGGGGUAAAAUGCGUAGAGAUCAAGAGGAAUACUGAUUGCGAAGGCGACCUGCUAGAACGUAACUGACGCUGAUGCGCGAAAGCGUGGGGAGCAAACAGGAUUAGAUACCCUUGUAGUC